UUGGUUGAAACUAAAUUAAUUAAAAUAUUUUAUCCAAUCCGACUCCAACACAAGUUACCCGAUCCAAACCGUAUAAAGACAGUAUUUUACAUGCAAUGUUAAAACCGUAUAAAGUGUUUUAAAUUUAAGACAAGAAACCAUGCUUUGUACAUGCAUCCAAAUUGAAGAAUACUUUUGAGUCAAAAAACAAAGACAAAACCCUGUGUUUUCUGCAAUUUCUAGUGAAAAACUGAUUAUGUUAUACAUGUAAAAGUAAGGGAGCAAAAUUAGAAUAAAAUUUACCUUGAUUCCAAUAUUUAGUGAUUGUUGAUCAAAGAGUGGAGAUGAGUUUUUGAGUUUGAAUUGAUGAAUGGGCUUACUUUUUUUUUGUCAAUUCUUCAUUCUGCUAUAGUGGCUGGCAGCCUGCUCUAGCAGGAGUUUUCCCACUAUAGUGGGAUCGAGAAUAUUUCACGAGAAGAAAAUUCUCAUUCCUCCUUUUAUGAAGUAAUUGUGAUUUCAAGGUGUAUUGGUGAGUCCCCAGUUAAUCCUUGUAAAAAUUGAUAUCAUGCGAGUCUCGACUGCGAUAAAUUAUGGACGUUUUCAUCCAAUUCCUGUCUGUUGUGAUCAUUUGGGGAUAAACAAUGGGUAAAUUUAUUGUAAUGACCCAAUUUGCUACUGAAAUUGUCGCAUUCAUGGAGGCCGAGGUAAGGUAAAUUUGUUGAUACCUUUAAUUAAUUUAGUUUCAACCAAGUGAAAGUUGUCAUGUAUUUUUUUAAAAAAAUUAUUUAUGAUUUAAGAAAAUCGUUAGUUGCAAGGGUA